rnacentral:rRNA from 1 species
UACGUAGGGGGCAAGCGUUGUCCGGAUUCACUGGGUGUAAAGGGUGCGCAGGCGGACUUGUAAGUCAGAGGUGAAAUCUUACGGCUUAACCGUGAAACUGCCUUUGAUACUGCAGGUCUUGAGUUUGGGAGAGGUUGAUGGAAUUCCAGGUGUAGCGGUGAAAUGCUUAGAUAUGUAAUAGAACACCGAUUGCGAAGGCAGUUCACUAGGCCUGUAUUGACACUGAGGCACGAAAGCGUGGGGAUCAAACAGG